rnacentral:lncRNA from 10 species
CCACAAUCACAGAGGAUCCUAAAUCUAUGCCAAGGACUUAGUCCAUUUUUCUAUACGUACUGGGAGACCAAAAGGGAAUUUUAAACAGGGAGUGAAACUUUUGUGUUUUACAGAGAUGAUGUUGCUGCAAACACUCAUUGGAGUGAGAGAGACCAAAGGCAAAGAAGUCAAGUAGGAGGUCUCUAGGUGAAGAAUUAUGAGGCCCUGAAUCAGGGCCACAGCAGUAGGAGUUGGUGGAAGACAUUUAAGAGGGGGAAUUUAUAGGUUGUGGUGACUGAUUGGAUGUUAAAAAGAAACUCUAGAAAGACACUUGCUGGUUGGGCGCAGUGGCUUACAUCUGUCAUUUGAGCACUUUGAGAGGCCCAGCACUUUAGGAGGCCAAGGCAUGAGGACUGCUUGAGGCUAGGAGUUCUAGACUAGCCUGGGCAACAUAAUGAGACCCCUAUCGCUGCAAAAAAAAUUUUUUUAAUUAGCCAGGCUGGGCAUGGUGACCCACACCUGUAAUCCCAGUACUUUGAGAGGCCAAAGCAGGAGGAUUACUUGAGCCCAAGACUUUGAAACCAGCCUGGGCAACAUAGUGAGACCCUGUCUCUACAAAAAUUUAAAGAUUAGCUGAGUGUGAUGGUAUGUGCCUUUGGUCCCAGAUACUCAGGAGGCUGAGGCGGGAGGAUCACUUGAGCCCAGGAGGUCAAGACUGCAGUGAGCUGUGUUCGUGCCACUGUACUCCAGCCUGGAUGACAGAGUAAGACCCUGUCUCAAAAAAAAAAAAAAAAAAAAAAAAAAAAAGCCAGGUGCAGUGGCUCACACCUGUAGUUCUAUCUACUUGGGAGGCUGAGGAGGGAGGAUCACUUGAGCCCAAGAGUUUGAGGCCACGGUAAGCUAUGAUCAUGCCACCGCACUCCGGCCUAGGUGACAAGAAUGAGGCCUCGACUUUGGAAAAAAAAGAAAAGAAAGACACUUGUGUUACUGGGUCACUAGACGUCUUUUUUUUUUUUUUUUUUAAAUAAGUCUUACCACGUGUCAGGCACCAUUCUAUGUUUUACAAAUACUAACUCAUUUAAUUCCCACAAUAACCCUAUGAGGUCAAUACUAUUUUAUCUCUCUUGGUCUUGAAAACCACUGUUUAAUGUAUUUUGUCUGUUUUGUUGUUGUUGGGGCAAGAGGUUAAUUCUAUUCUCUCGUAUUCCAUCUCGGCUGGAAGCAGAAGUUUAUAAACAUUGCAUUUUAAAUUUAUUUUAAAUUUAGAUUUUUUUAAUUUCCAUUUUUUGAAUACUAAAUUUGACUAUUUCCUAUAUGUUUACAUUUGCAUUUCUUUUGUACUUUGUUCCUGUAUAUUGUUUGCUCUGUCUUCUGAAGAUUUAAGGGUUUCCUUUUCAGUUUUAUGCAUGGUCCCAUAAGUAAAAGCAAUAUGGCUUCUGUAAGAGAGCAUCUUACAGCAGGAGAAUUCUGGAGAUCUGCAAAGGUUCUCCCUCAAGUAUUCAGCAGAGCACAGAUUAGUACAUACGUGUGAGGAAACUACUUGAGCCAGGGAAAGAGUCCUCUAAAGGAUUAUUGGGAACAGUAUCUGUUGUUCACAUAGGGCUGAGAAGAGUAUAUCUAUUCCCACCAGCCAGACUGGAAAACUCUUCCAAUUCCUGGAGCAUUGGAUAGGUCGUGUCUACCCAAUCAGUAUCUAUCAAGAAGGUCUUGCUUCAGUAAUGGGGGAUAAUUAGCCCUAUACUAGGCACUGCUAAAUCUGUCUAGCAAAUUGUAAAAGAAAGACCCAAAAGGAUCAAACUGUUUGCAAAUAACCUAACCAUCCUAAAACAAAGCUUAAGGAAAUUUAUAGUACUAUAAAAAUAUCCAGCAUCCAAUACAAUAACAUUCACAGUAUCUGGCAUCCAAUCAAAUUCACCAAGCAUGCAAAGAGAUGAAAACAUGGCCCAUAGUGAGGACGGUAAUAAUGAUUUGAAACUCAUCCAAACUUAACAUAGAUAUUAUUAUUAGCAGAGGAGGAUAGUAAAACAUUAGUUAUAACUGUAUUUCGUAUUGCUAAGAAGGUAAGUACAGCAAUAGAAAGUAUUAAAAAAAAUUGAGAUUCUAGGGAGAAAACCUAUAUUGCCUGAAAUGAAAAUAUACCAGGUUAACAGAAGAUUAGAUUUCCAGAAGAAAAGUUGGGUGAACUUGAAGGCAUAGCAGUAAAACUAUCCAAAAUGAAAUGCAGAGAGAAAAAAGAAACCAGAAAAAAAAUGAAAAGAACUUGAGUAAGCUGUGGAUAGCAUCAGGUAGCCUACCGUAUGAGUAAUUGGAGUCCCUGAAGAAGAGAGUAAAGGAGAGAUGGAGAAAUAUAUGAAGAAAUAAUGGCUGGAAAUGUCAAAACUUAAUGAAACUAUAAACCCGCAAGUUCAAGAAGCUCAAGGAACCCUAAACUCCAGCAACAUGAAAAGUAUACCAAGGAAAAUAAUAAUCAGAUUACUCAAAUCAAUAAAAGAGAAAAUCUCAAAAGCAGCCAGAAGGAAAAUACAUGCUAUAUACAGAGGAAUAAGGGAUUACAUUGGAUUUCUUACCAGAAAUAAGACAUCUAAGAAGAGUGGAACUAUAUCUACAAAGUACUGAAAGAAAAAAAUAACUGUCUACCUAUUAAAUAGAAUUACACAUUCAGGAAAAAACAUCUUUCAACAACAAAGGUAACUCAACCUAUAGAAUGGAAGAAACAGGCCGGGCGCGGUGGCUCACGCCUGUAAUCCCAGCACUUUGGGAGGCCGAGGCGGGCAGAUCACCUGAGGUCAGGAGUUCGAGACCAGCCUGACCAACAUGGUGAAACCCCGUCUCUACUAAAAAAUACAAAAAAUUAGCUUUGCAUGCCUGUAGUCCCAGCUACAGGCUGAGGCACAAGAAUUGCUUGAACCUGGGAGGUGGAGGUUGCAGUGAACUGAGAUCUUG